rnacentral:rRNA from 1 species
GACGAACCGAGCGACCGUUAUUCGGAAUCACUGGGCUUAAAGGGCGCGUAGGCGGGCGGCCGAGUCCGGGGUGAAAGCCCCCAGCUCAACUGGGGAAGUGCCUCGGAUACUGGUCGCCUCGAGGGAGAUAGGGGCGUGCGGAACUUCCGGUGGAGCGGUGAAAUGCGUAGAUAUCGGAAGGAACACCGGUGGCGAAAGCGGCGCGCUGGAUCUCUUCUGACGCUGAGGCGCGAAAGCCAGGGGAGCGAACGGG